rnacentral:rRNA from 1 species
AUUGAACGCUGGCGGCAUGCCUUACACAUGCAAGUCGAACGGUAACGGGCCUUCGGGUGCCGACGAGUGGCGAACGGGUGAGUAAUGCAUCGGAACGUACCCUACAGUGGGGGAUAACGUAGCGAAAGUUACGCUAAUACCGCAUAUUCUGUGAGCAGGAAAGCAGGGGAUCGCAAGACCUUGCGCUGAUUGAGCGGCCGAUGUCAGAUUAGCUAGUUGGUGAGGUAAAGGCUCACCAAGGCGACGAUCUGUAGCGGGUCUGAGGGGAUGAUCCGCCACACUGGAACUGAGACACGGUCCAGACUCCUACGGGAGGCAGCAGUGGGGAAUUUUGGACAAUGGGGGCAACCCUGAUCCAGCCAUGCCGCGUGAGUGAAGAAGGCCUUCGGGUUGUAAAGCUCUUUCGGCCGGGAAGAAAUUGUAUGGGCUAAUACCCUGUGCGGAUGACGGUACCGGCAUAAGAAGCACCGGCUAACUACGUGCCAGCCGCCGCAGUAAAAC